CCUUUUAUCGACCCACUUAGCAAAAAAGGUCAAAAAUUCACUGCGCUUGACUAUUGAUUCACAGCAUUUUUGGUCUGAUUCAACUAUAGUUCUUUGCUGGAUAAAAACAUGCAAACAACAAUUAAAACAAUUUGUCCACAAUAGGAUCACAGAAAUCACUAACAACUCUGACCCCACAGAUUGGCAUUAUGUACCCACAACCUUGAACCCUGCCGACAUAGGUAGUAGAGGUCAGAGCGCAUUAAAUCUCAAAGAUUCACCUUUGUGGUGGGAAGGACCGCCUUUCCUCCAUAAAGGUGAAAUACAAUGGCCUACUCAACCUCAAAAUUUGCCUUUAGAGAAUUUGCCUGAAGUCAAAAUACAAUGUCACGUUUCAACUGAACAAUGCGAGGAUAAUUUCACCUCUAAAUAUUCAAACUUUUGUAAAUUACAACGAAUUAUAGCAUACAUGAAUAGAUUCGUUCAUAACUGUAAAAAUAGAACUAACAAGAAUACAGGUCCAUUAAAAGUGUCAGAGCUUAAUUUGUCAUUACAAAUGUUGUGUAAACAAGUGCAGACAGACAAAUUCAAUGAGCAACUCUUGCGUUUGCUAAACAAACGCCCACUUUCUCACAAGGAUACCCUGUUGAAAUUUAAUCCAUUUGUCCAGAUACCUUUGGAAUUUUGCGAGUAGGUGGCAGACUUGCAAAUUCAUACUACGAUUAUAACACAAAACACCCUAUUUUAUUACAUGCAUCACAUCACAUCACUAAAAUAUUAGUACAUCACUACCAUCGAAUGUUAAUGCACACUGGACCACAGCUGAUGCUAGCAACAUUACGCCACAGGUAUUGGAUAAUUAACGGCCGUAACCUUUGCAGGCAAACGUCACAAAGCUGCAUUACAUGUUUAAGAUAUUCGGGUAAAACUCAUCAACCAAUUAUGGGCAACCUGCCACUGCAAAGGGUACAGUCCGAAUACGUAUUUGCUAACACAUCCUGUGACUACGCUGGGCCAAUCCUGAUAGCGAGCAGAAAGGGUCGUGGUUGUCAAACUAAGAAAGCAUACAUAGUUGUUUUUGUUUGUUUGGCAGUGAGGGCGGUACACUUGGAGCUCGUCACUGAUUUGACAGCCAUGGGCUUUAUUGCCGCGUUAAAUAGAUUCAUAGUCCGCAGAGGCAAACCAGCCACCAUUUUGUCAGAUAAUGGUACUUGUUUCGUAGGGGCUUGUAACGAAUUAGCCAAGUUUCUUAAAAAUAACUCUGACGAAAUAACGUCAUAUUCAGCUACAAAGGAAAUAGAAUUCAAAUUUUGUCCUGCUUAUAGCCCACAUUUUAAUGGUUUGGCAGAGGGCGCAGUUAAGCGAAACUGCAGGUCCGAAACAAAUGGCGCAGGAAUGGAGGCCAGCUGAAGCUCGGCGAGAUGGUUCUCGUCAAAGACGACCGCUUGCCCCCCAGCAGAUGGCUGCUCGGGCGAGUCGCCGCAGUCUACCCGGGCGACGACG